AAGUCGUAACAAGGUUUCCGUUGGUGAACCAGCGGAAGGAUCAUUACAGAGAUCAUGCCCUCGCGGGUAGACCUCCCACCCUGUGUUAUUUACUCUUGUUGCCUUGGCAGGCCGCCUUCGGGCUCUCGGCUCAGGCUGAGGUGCGCCUGCCAAAGGACCCUCAACUCGUUGUUUUAGUGUCGUCUGAGUACUAUAUAAUACGUUAAAACUUUCAACAACGGAUCUCUUGGCUCUG
rnacentral:misc_RNA from 1 species